rnacentral:rRNA from 1 species
AUUGAACGCUGGCGGCAGGCCUAUCACAUGCAAGUCGAACGGUAACAGGAAGCAGCUUGCUGCUUUGCUGACGAGUGGCGGACGGGUGAGUAAUGUCUGGGAAACUGCCCGAUGGAGGGGGAUAACUACUGGAAACGGUAGCUAAUACCGCAUAACGUCGCAAGACCAAAGAGGGGGACCUUAGGGCCUCUUGCCAUCGGAUGUGCCCAGAUGGGAUUAGCUAGUAGGUGGGGUAACGGCUCACCUAGGCGACGAUCCCUAGCUGGUCUGAGAGGAUGACCAGCCACACUGGAACUGAGACACGGUCCAGACUCCUACGGGAGGCAGCAGUGGGGAAUAUUGCACAAUGGGCGCAAGCCUGAUGCAGCCAUGCCGCGUGUAUGAAGAAGGCCUUCGGGUUGUAAAGUACUUUCAGCGGGGAGGAAGGGAGUAAAGUUAAUACCUUUGCUCAUUGACGUUACCCGCAGAAGAAGCACCGGCUAACUCCGUG